CUGCAAGACGAGUGUGAUGUGUUUAGUAUGGAAGCAGCAACUUCAAACUGUAAUUCACCAGAGCAAGAUAUAUCAAGCCAAAGAACAAAACAAAAAACUCUGGUAAAAAGCAACAAUCCAAACACACCUUCAAUUUUUCAGUGGUCGACCCCACACAAAGCCCUAAGAAAGCUGUGAGUGAAAAUACAAAAUUCACAAACCCGA